rnacentral:rRNA from 1 species
AGUGAACGCUGGCGGUAGGCCUAACACAUGCAAGUCGAACGGCAGCACAGUAAGCGCUUUCUCUUACGGGUGGCGAGUGGCGGACGGGUGAGGAAUACAUCGGAAUCUUCUUUUUCGUGGGGGAUAACGUAGGGAAACUUACGCUAAUACCUCAUACUACCUACGGGUGAAAUCUGGGGAUCUUCGUACCUUGCGCGAUUGAAUUAGCCGAUGUCGGAUUAGCUAGUUGGCUGGGUAAAGGCCCACCAAGGCGACGAUCCGUAGCUGGUCUGAGAGGAUGAUCAGCCACACUGGAACUGAGACACGGUCCAGACUCCUACGGGAGGCAGCAGUGGGGAAUAUUGGGCAAUGGGCGCAAGCCUGAUCCAGCAAUGCCGCGUGGGUGAAGAAGGUCUUCGGGUUGUAAAGCCCUUUUGUUGGGAAAGAAAAGAAGUAGAAGAAUACCCGGAUGUUCUGACGGUACCUAAAGAAUAAGCACCGGCUAACUUCGUG